rnacentral:snoRNA from 1 species
UAAAAUGAUGACCAAGAUGUCGCCCCAAGCGGAACCAUAAUGACCGAUUCGAUUAAUACACUGAAAAUUCUGAAA